rnacentral:misc_RNA from 1 species
AGCGCCCGCUCUGCUAUAAAUUAACCCCAAAUCCAAUACCCAGCAUCCACUUUCUCCAAAAUUAGCCGCGAUUCAAAGCUUCUUAUUUUACUUUCUCCGUUGUUCAAGCGAAGGAUAGAUGGCUCGUACCAAGCAGACCGCUAGGAAGUCCACAGGAGGCAAAGCCCCACGGAAGCAGCUGGCAACAAAGGCAGCUCGCAAGUCAGCACCAGCCACCGGAGGUGUCAAGAAGCCCCACCGAUUCAGGC